AGUGCAAUUGCUGGGUCAUAUGGUAGUUACAUGUUUAGGAGUUUUGGGGGUUUUUUUAGCUGUCAAACUGUUUUUUCCACAGUGACUAUACAGUUUUGAAUUCCUGCCAGCAAU
rnacentral:pre_miRNA from 1 species